rnacentral:rRNA from 1 species
UACGUAGGGGGCAAGCGUUGUCCGGAUUUAUUGGGCGUAAAGAGCGUGUAGGCGGUCAGGUAGGUCCGUUGUGAAAACUCGAGGCUCAACCUCGAGACGCCGAUGGAAACCAUCUGACUAGAGUCCGGAAGAGGAGAGUGGAAUUCCUGGUGUAGCGGUGAAAUGCGUAGAUAUCGGGAGGAACACCAGUGGCGAAGGCGGCUGCCUGGGCCAGAUCUGACGCUGAGGCGCGAAAGCGUGGGGAGCAAACAGG